AUAGAGAGGAUGCGAGCGUUAUCCGGAUUUAUUGGGUUUAAAGGGAGCGUAGGUGGGAUAUUAAGUCAGCUGUGAAAGUUUGGGGCUCAACCUUAAAAUUGCAGUUGAUACUGGUUGCCUUGAGUACGGUACAGGUGGGCGGAAUUCGUGGUGUAGCGGUGAAAUGCUUAGAUAUCACGAAGAACUCCGAUCGCGAAGGCACAUCGCCGGGCCGGAACUGACACGUACGCCCGAAAGUGCGGGUAUCAAACAGGAUCAGAUACCCUGGUAGUCCGCACAGUAAACCACGAACACUCGCUGUUUGCGAUACACUGUAAGCCGCUAAGCGAAAGCGUUAAGUAUUCCACCCGGGGAGUACGCCGCUAACGGUGAAACUCCAAUGAUUUGACGGGG
rnacentral:rRNA from 1 species